rnacentral:rRNA from 1 species
AUUGAACGCUGGCGGCAUGCUUUACACAUGCAAGUCGGACGAGUGGCGAACGGGUGAGUAACGCAUCGGAACGUACCGAGUAAUGGGGGAUAACUGUCCGAAAGGAAAGCUAAUACCGCAUAUUAUUCGAGCGGCCGAUGUAUGAGUAGCUGGUUGGCGGGGUAAAGGACCACCAAGGCGACGAUGAGUAGCGGGUUAGAGAGGAUGAUCCUCAACACUGGGACUGAGACACGGCCCAGACUCCUACGCGAGGCAGCAGUGGGGAAUUUUGGACAAUGGGCGAAAGCCUGAUCCAGCCAUGCCGCGUGUCUGAAGAAGGCCUUCGGGUUGUAAAGGACGUUUGUCAGGGAAGCGGUACCUGAAGAAUAAGCACCGGCUAACUACGUGCCAGCAGCCGCGGUAAUAC